UGGUGAUACCAGUCCACCAGUGGCAGAAAUAAUAACAUAAACGUAACACUGCUGCAGAGUACUGGAUGUGUCAGCCCUGGGAAAUGGAGGGAGGGGCAAAAUUCAAAGCCUCUUUGUCAAGCUAGAUAAUUGUCAAGUAAAAUAGAAAUGAUUCAAGCAAAUACAGUCUUCUUUACUUCUUUUCUAAGCAGUAGAUAAAAUGUCUUGAUCUAGAAAAUAUUCUCAUAAAUAUUUGUAAUUGUCCACAAGUUGCUGCUUCUUGCCUGUCUGCAGUAAUAAUCACUAUAUAAACCCCCAAACUGCAAAUUUAGCUGCACUAAGUGCUGUUGAGCUGAACUAUGAGAAAAAGUGGGGUUUUUUUCCUUGCUGGAACUUCACUGAUUUCACUGCACAGGCAAAAAGUGCAAUAAAAGGCAACAACUGCAUAGUGAUGCUACUUCUGCUAUGUGGUGUCCAAAUCCUUGUCUUGCACUAUGGCAUUAGGAGGUGAACAACCUUUCUGUGUUAAAUUUCUGGUGUUAAAUAUCUUCAGUUUUCUCUUCCUGCAUUUGAUAAAAUGCUCAUGUUUUGUGUUCUGCAUGGCAUAAACUGAAGUGUGAAUGUGGAAAAUUCCUGUACUUUCCUGGGGUUUUCUUUUUGUAGUUUAAAUAACUUUUUAAUAAUGAUGCCUUGUCAAAUUUGCCAGCCUCACUGUGAGAUUAGACAGUGGGAUGAUGGGUUUAGUCCACAAGUCAUUCUUCUGUUUUCUGUAUGAGGAGUGGGGAAAAAAGACUAAAAUUCUUUCCUUUUAUUGCUAGUGGCUGGAGUGAUUGGUUGGAGCAGAAGUAAUAAAUCAAUUAGGAAACAGCAUCCCUUUCAAUCUGAAGCUGUGCACAUCAGCUUUGUAUCCAGGCUUUUAUAUAUUGUACAGCAAUCUGUUGUGUCUGCAGCAAGUGAAAGCUCCAAAAAUCAAUGCACUAAGACCUGAGGGAGGAUAGCCUGACAUUUGUAUUAAUCAAGGCUGUCUGAGUAGUUGGACAACACUAACAAGCUCCCUAAAGCUCUGCUUCGACUGGGUUGUGUUGAAACUGAGGACGCUUUCUGAGUGACAGCCUCCUGCACUCGUGAAUUUAUAGGGAAAUGUCCCCCAGCACUUGGAGUUAUUGUUACCCGCUCACCUCCCUUCAGCUGCACCCCCAGCCCCGUUAUCAGGACAGUGGUGCGUUUUGGAGCCAGACGGGCGAUACGGGAGGUGCCUGUGCUGGCUGUGAUAAGGUGGUGCCAGCACUGAUUCCUGCUGUCACUGCGGCGUGUGCUGGGAGGGAGCGCUCACAGCAGGGGCUGAGCUGCGCCUCCUGAUGUGCUCGGUGCUGGUCAGCCACUGCAGAGUCACAGCCCAGCCCCUGAGGAGAGUGCUAACUUCAUAUCCCUUCAUUCAAAGUUAUUUUUACAGUCCUUUGCCUCAUUCUGUGACUGGUUGUUUUUGUUUUUUUUUUUCCCUUGGGUCACCUUGAUCUAAUUAUUCUCCAGGAAAUGAGAGCCAAUAAAAGAAAGCCUUUUGCUAUGAGUACACGUGUAUUUUAAAAUGUAGAUAUUAAAUAAGUUCCCUAAGCAGAAAUAAAAUCCAGUCCAGCUUAUGCAACCAAUACCACAAUUGGAGUGGCUGUUUCCACCCUUAAAUGUACUGAUGGUGUUUAAAUUAUACUUGCCACAGGUACCCUAGUGUAAAAGAUACCUAAUAACCAGGGUGAGAAGAAAAGGAAAGGCUGCUAAGGAAGAGGAAUCUCUGCUGCUGAAGUGUACAGAAAGCAAUGAAAUCCAUCUCUUGUGGGAAUGUGACAAGCUACAACAGCAUGGGUUGAAAAUACGAUAGAGAAAGCAAAACAUCCCUAACAGCGAGAGCCACUUACACAGCCACAGAAGCUCACAGCAGCUUGGAGAGUUGUGUCACAGAGUUUUCCUGGCCCUAGGAGAGACUCCGACCAAAACAGAGAUACAGAAUAAGGUGAGAGGUCUGUGUUCGUGUGUGGGAUAGACACCCAAAGGGGAGGAUAGAGACUGUUGCUUCUUACUUAUUGUUACAGUUUCCACUAAUUUGUCCUUUCUCUUCUUUCCUUCCUGUCCAAUGUGUGCUGGCACAGCUGGCCCAACAAAUGUUUGUGGUACCUGCUGUGAAUGGCUCAGCAGUUCAGACUCAAGGUGGGGUGUCCUCAUUUUUCCCUUUCUUGAACUGGGAGCUGUUCAGAAUGAGAGAUGUGCUUCUGUAUUGCCUCUCUUUUCAUAUCUUUCUUAUUUCUGUUGUCUUUUUUUUUUUUUUUUUUUUUUUUUUUGGUUUGGUUUUGUUUUUUUUUAGUAGGAGCUGUUAUAUUUGUGAAGAACUUUAGCACAUGAAGCAUGCCAGCCCUAGGAAAGCAAAGCACCGUGCUCUGAAAGCACAGAAAUACUUUUGAGAAAUUUCCAUCUGGAGAGAGACUGUAAUAGAAAAACAGCAAAAACGCCCUUGCUACAAUGAGGAGAAUUCCUAUCAAUGCAGUGACUGAAUAAAUAUACAAGGUAAGAAGAUACCAGUUUUAGAGAGCCACUUAAACAUAUGGUGGCCAUUAUCCCACGGCAGCUCUGCCUUCAAGGAUCAGCAUCCAGGCUGGUCAGUGGCACAGGCAGCUCUGCCACAGCUCUGUGCCCAGGCAUACAGGGGUGCAGGUACUGCUCUCACACAGCCAGUGCCACAGCUGGACAUUGGGUCCUAUAGAUGCUGUAAAGUGCUGCACAGGCAGUUUGCAGCUCAGAGUGCUAAAAAUUAUGUGGAAAAUGCACUUCACCUGUUUCGGACAACUAGCAAAAGUGUUUUUAACUCUCAUUUUCUCUGCUCUAAGAGACAGUUUUUCAGGACCAGCGAAACAGCAGGUGAGUUCUUAAAAUUCCCAAAAUGAAACGUAUUUGCUUUCCUGAGGUCAUGCAUUUGGCUGGAAAAUGGCAAUGAACUUUUCUACUGACCCUAAAGCCUCAGAAAACUGUACCUGGUAGUAGUAGCACAGACAGACUUGUAGAAAAAAAAAUAAAGUUUAAGCAAAUUAUAGAGAUCUGUAGACUAUGUGAUCAUUACUGAAUACAUGUAGGCUUUAAAAAUCUUCUCCCACUCCAGGACCUAUAUGUUAUUUCAAUUAUAUCUAAAAGCUGCACAAACGCUAAGUUUGAUGGGAUGGGAUGUGUUUGGUGUCCUACAAAAUCUGGAAUGGGCUCGUUUUAUGUUGAAGUAGAUUGAACUAAUGUAAUGAGGUUGCUAGACAUGGGAAAUCGAGUGAAGAAGUUGCAGAGAAGAAAAGACUGUUGCUAUAUUUAUGUGUUUCCACAUACUUUGGUUCUGGAUUUUUGUGUGCUUUUAAAUUUAAAUCAUAGGGAUAUUACCUGAUCAGCUUUUGAAGACAGUGAAAAAAAACCCACCCCAAACUCCACUAAUUAGUCUAUUGCUAAAUAGGAUCUAAAGCACUUUGCAAAGUGCCAAAUGUUUAAAGUUUCACAAAAGCAUAAUGAGGUGCACUAUUAUCUCUGCUGUUAUCCGGGCAAGUUGAGACAAAUCCUGAGCUUGAAUAUAUAAAGUACCUGUUACAGAUAAUCUCUGCAGGGGAUCUGGUGCUGGUAUUUUGUUAUGAUCAAGACUCCUAACUUGGAGUACAGAUUAGAUUAGAUAGUCUGCUUUUAACCUCUCUUCUCAUAGUCUGGUUUUGCUAUUGAAAGAGAAGCACCUUACUGAGUAUCAGUGAACCAUCAACUCAGAGGAUGGGGCUGGGAAAGUAUUUUGCUUGCCACGUAUAAAAGAACCAAGAAGCUGCUUUUCUUAUUAUGAAAAUGUGUGUCUAACCCAGAUUUAAGGAAAAUGAUCUUGUAGGAAGACCUCUGUGAAUGCAGGCAUUUCACAGCUGCUGUGCUGUCACUUGUGGCUGCCAGAUAUCCAAAGACAGGUCACUGGCAGGAGCUCAUGGUUCUAAUUCCUUCCCCAGGCAACCCCCUUCCCUCCCCGUGCCCCAUUGCUGCUGGGGUGUCUUGAGUUCAUGGGUGCUGUGGGGGACACGGGCUGAGUAUACGG